AGAGUUUGAUCCUGGCUCAGAUUGAACGCUAGCGGGAUGCUUUACACAUGCAAGUCGAACGGCAGCACGAGAGAGCUUGCUCUCUUGGUGGCGAGUGGCGGACGGGUGAGUAAUAUAUCGGAACGUGCCCAGUAGCGGGGGAUAACUACUCGAAAGAGUGGCUAAUACCGCAUACGCCCUACGGGGGAAAGGGGGGGAUCGCAAGACCUCUCACUAUUGGAGCGGCCGAUAUCGGAUUAGCUAGUUGGUGGGGUAAAGGCUCACCAAGGCAACGAUCCGUAGCUGGUUUGAGAGGACGACCAGCCACACUGGGACUGAGACACGGCCCAGACUCCUACGGGAGGCAGCAGUGGGGAAUUUUGGACAAUGGGGGAAACCCUGAUCCAGCCAUCCCGCGUGUAUGAUGAAGGCCUUCGGGUUGUAAAGUACUUUUGGCAGAGAAGAAAAGGCAUCCCCUAAUACGGGAUGCUGCUGACGGUAUCUGCAGAAUAAGCACCGGCUAACUACGUGCCAGCAGCCGCGGUAAUACGUAGGGUGCAAGCGUUAAUCGGAAUUACUGGGCGUAAAGCGUGUGUAGGCGGUUCGGAAAGAAAGAUGUGAAAUCCCAGGGCUCAACCUUGGAACUGCAUUUUUAACUGCCGAGCUAGAGUAUGUCAGAGGGGGGUAGAAUUCCACGUGUAGCAGUGAAAUGCGUAGAUAUGUGGAGGAAUACCGAUGGCGAAGGCAGCCCCCUGGGAUAAUACUGACGCUCAGACACGAAAGCGUGGGGAGCAAACAGGAUUAGAUACCCUGGUAGUCCACGCCCUAAACGAUGUCAACUAGCUGUUGGGGCCGUUAGGCCUUAGUAGCGCAGCUAACGCGUGAAGUUGACCGCCUGGGGAGUACGGUCGCAAGAUUAAAACUCAAAGGAAUUGACGGGGACCCGCACAAGCGGUGGAUGAUGUGGAUUAAUUCGAUGCAACGCGAAAAACCUUACCUACCCUUGACAUGUCUGGAAUGCCGAAGAGAUUUGGCAGUGCUCGCAAGAGAACCGGAACACAGGUGCUGCAUGGCUGUCGUCAGCUCGUGUCGUGAGAUGUUGGGUUAAGUCCCGCAACGAGCGCAACCCUUGUCAUUAGUUGCUACGCAAGAGCACUCUAAUGAGACUGCCGGUGACAAACCGGAGGAAGGUGGGGAUGACGUCAAGUCCUCAUGGCCCUUAUGGGUAGGGCUUCACACGUCAUACAAUGGUCGGGACAGAGGGUCGCCAACCCGCGAGGGGGAGCCAAUCUCAGAAACCCGAUCGUAGUCCGGAUCGCAGUCUGCAACUCGACUGCGUGAAGUCGGAAUCGCUAGUAAUCGCGGAUCAGAAUGUCGCGGUGAAUACGUUCCCGGGUCUUGUACACACCGCCCGUCACACCAUGGGAGUGGGUUUCACCAGAAGUAGGUAGCCUAACCGCAAGGAGGGCGCUUACCACGGUGGGAUUCAUGACUGGGGUGAAGUCGUAACAAGGUAACCGUA
rnacentral:rRNA from 1 species